rnacentral:tRNA from 1 species
GGAGAGGUGCCAGAGUGGUCGAAUGGGUCUGUCUCGAAAACAGAUGCCGCCUCACGGCGGCCGCAGGUUCGAAUCCUGUCCUCUCCG